AAAUCAUAAGAGCAAAGACACCACCACGCGCACUUGACCACAAACCACACUCACCAUUCUAUUCACAUUCAUCACUCUUCUCCUCUCUUCGUUUUCCUCAACUCAACCCCUUUUGUUUCUCUCUUUUUGUUUUUUUUUUUCUUUCUUUCUUUCACUUGUUUUUAUUAUUUAGGGUUUCGAAUUCUCCCAUUUCUUCUUCUUCCAUUCAAAACUCAAUUUCCAAUUCGAUUCCCCCCCCUCGAUUCCAACUAUUUAUUACGCGAUUGAUUGAUUCCCUAAUUUCGUCCACAGUAAUUUCAGUUUGAUUGGUGUUUUCAAGGGUUUGGAAUCGAUGGUGGAUUAUUCUUUUGAUCAAAGAGGGGUACAGUUUUGGGAGUGUUUCGAGGUUCAAUAGUUACGGGAAGUAAAGUUUUGAACCUUUUGCUAUGAUAUUUCGUGAUUGAUUUCAGAAUUUUUAUUUUUUUUUUAUUUUUGCGGGGAGUGAUUGUGAUUGUAGAAGAAGAAGAAGGUUAUGGAGAAUGGUUACGAUGGGAAUUUGGCUGAUAAAUUUUCAGGAUUGGGUAUCAACCAGAACGGUCAAGAACAACAUGUGCACGAACAACCUAACUUUUCUUCUAACAACAACAACAACAACAACGAUAACUUGUUUCAGGUUAUGAAGGCCGUUGAAGCUGCCGAAGCCACCAUUAAGCAACAGGUGGAAGAGAACAAUCAGCUUAGGUCUGAGCUUCUGAGUAAAAUUCAGGAACUGGAAAAAUAUAGGUUAUAUGAAUCACCGGAUCAAAAACUGCCCUCGGUUUCUCCAUGGAAAGAGCUGGGUCAUGGAUCUUAUGAAGCUCAUCAAUCAUUCCCAUCAGCAGGUAGCCAUUUUGAGAACAGUCCAGUAAAUGGAACGCUGAGAAUACAGCCAAACGAUCAGCUGCCUGUGGAUAAUGUUGGCCACUCUCAGUUGUCUUCACCAUUUACGAGGUCCAUCUCUCCAAGCAGGCAUCUACCAGAAGGAGACCUUGAUUCUAGAUAUAGUUCACCUCUGAAAGGCUUGAUGCCAAUGCCUGAAACAAAUAAUUCUAAUUCCUUACUGAAGCAGGAUCUGGCCAUUAAGGUCCAUGAACAUGAAGAAGAGGUCACCCUAUUAAAGAAACAUCUAGCAGAUUAUUCUGCAAAGGAAGCACAAAUACGCAAUGAAAAAUAUGUCUUGGAAAAGCGCAUUGCAUAUAUGCGUCUGGCCUUUGAUCAACAACAACAAGACCUUGUAGAUGCGGCAUCAAAGGCCUUGUCGUACCGACAAGACAUAAUUGAAGAAAAUAUACGUCUUACCUAUGCAUUGCAGGAUGCACAGCAAGAAAGGUCAACAUUUGUUUCAUCGUUGCUACCUCUUCUUGCAGAAUACUCCCUUCAGCCACCUGUUCCUGAUGCCCAAUCGAUUGUUAGCAAUGUCAAGGUUUUGUUUAAACAUUUGCAAGAAAAACUUUUUCGCACUGAGUCGAAGCUAAAGGAGUCACAGUAUCAACUGACACCUUGGCGUUCAGAUUUGAACCAUGCAAAUGUUGCUACACAAUCACCAUUGAACGUCAUUGGUGCACCUUUGGCAACUUCAAAAAAAAAUGGCCUUGAAUUGGUACCUCAGAAUACAUACUCUCAAGUUAAUACUCAGGCCUUUGUUGAUGCUCAGCGAGGCACUGAUUGGGAGGCAAUGAGUCGCCACCAGAGCGGCAUGGGUGGUGGGCUGGUAUCGAAUGUGGAUGCUGAUGAUUUGGGGAGAUAUUCACCUCUUGGAAGCAGGAAUUCUUCAGCCCAUGAUGUACCCAAUCACCAGGUCACUCAGGGUGAUACUCAGAAUGAAUACUAUGAAGAGAUGUCUAAUAAACAUGUCAAAUUUCGUGCGCCUGUCAGCAACAAUGAAGUGGAUGAUUCGGAGGGUGAUGGGGACAAUAGUGAGAGAGAGACACCUGCUAACUGGAGUUCAGGCAACCCUCCUUAUACAACAACUGUCGAAGAUCCCAGUUCCUCAUAUUCUCCUUAUCUACCACCAGUUCUUGAAGAACCUUCUUCUUCAUUUUCUGAAGGUGAUAAUUAUGCUGCAGAUGAAGAUCCAUUACCAGCUAUAGAGAACCUUCAAAUUUCCGGGGAAGCCUUUCCAGGAAGGGAACUUCAGGCAUGCGGAUACUCCAUCCAUGGCACCACUAGUUGUAAUUUUGAGUGGAUUCGGCACCUGGAAGACGGUUCCUUUAAUUAUAUUGAAGGGGCAAAGCAACCCAACUAUCUUGUCAGUGCCGAUGAUGUUGAUACAUUACUUGCCAUUGAAGUCCAGCCUCUGGAUAACAGGAAGCGCAAGGGAGAACCAGUCAAAGUUUUUGCCAAUGAUAGCAAGAAGAUCAUUUGUGAUCCUGAAAUGCAGAGCCACAUAGAGAAGAGUUUUUAUAGCGGACAUGCUUCAUAUAAAGUUUCUCUUUCGGUAAUUCAAUACUGGAUAUCUUGAUAUAUGGGAGCCAGCCACAUUGGCCAUUAAGAAGGAAGGUUACAGUAUCAAAUGCAGUGGACCAAAUGGAGUUGUAAUCGCAGAAAAAUUUUCUCCAUCCACCACUGUUGUGAUUCCAUAUGGUCACAUUUCAGAAUUUAUUAUAAUCGGUUCCACUGGGGCUGAACAUCUUUUAAGAGCAGAGAACAACUCGACAGAUGUCAGUGGCGCUAGAGACACUAUUGUGCUCACAUUGAGAUUAUUUAUCCUAAGGGCUGGGGACAGAAAGAGGGGAAGGAGGAAGGGAUUAUUAUUCUUUAACAAGUAAGCGAAAGUUGGCAAUUUUGCAGAAAAUCUCUGCUGCAAGUAAAAUGUGCUGACCGUAGAUGGGGACUGGGAGUUGUGUUUAGUGUGCUACCUAAAUUUUUGUUGGUUUCAUAUUGUAUCAUAGGGCAGAAUUAGCUUCAGCUGUAAUUGUGAUUCUAUGCCAUCAUUUUUUUUUAAUAUUUAAUGAUUCUUUUUGCCAUUUUCUGUC